UACGGAAGGCAGCAGUGGGGAAUAUUGCACAAUGGGCGAAAGCCUGAUGCAGCUAUGCCGCGUGUAUGAAGAAGGCCUUAGGGUUGUAAAGUACUUUCAUCGGGGAGGAAAAACAAAACUAAUAAUUUUAUUUCUUGACGUUACCCGAAAAAGAAGCACCGGCUAACUCCGUGCCAGCAGCCGCGGUAAUACGGAGGGUGCUAGCGUUAAUCAGAAUUACUGGGCGUAAAGAGCACGUAGGUGGUUUUUUUAAGUCAGAUGUGAAAUCCCUGGGCUUAACCUGGAACUGCAUUUUGAAACUGAAAUACUAGAGUAUCGUAGGGGGAGGUAGAAUUCUAGGUGUAGCGGUGAAAUGCGUAGAUAUCUGGAGGAAUACCUGUGGCGAAAGCGGCCUCCUAAACGAAUACUGACACUGAGGUGCGAAAGCGUGGGGAGCAAACAGGGAUUAGAUACCUU
rnacentral:rRNA from 1 species